rnacentral:rRNA from 1 species
GACGAACGCUGGCGGCGUGCCUAAUACAUGCAAGUCGAACGAGAGCGACCGGUGCUUGCACUGGUCAAUCUAGUGGCGAACGGGUGAGUAACACGUGGGUAACCUGCCCAUCAGAGGGGGAUAACAUUCGGAAACGGAUGCUAAAACCGCAUAGGUCUUCGAACCGCAUGGUUUGAAGAGGAAAAGAGGCGCAAGCUUCUGCUGAUGGAUGGACCCGCGGUGCAUUAGCUAGUUGGUGAGGUAACGGCUCACCAAGGCCGUGAUGCAUAGCCGACCUGAGAGGGUGAUCGGCCACAUUGGGACUGAGACACGGCCCAAACUCCUACGGGAGGCAGCAGUAGGGAAUCUUCCGCAAUGGACGCAAGUCUGACGGAGCAACGCCGCGUGAGUGAAGAAGGUUUUCGGAUCGUAAAACCCUGUUGUUAGAGAAGAAUAAGUGCUAGAGUAACUGUUAGCGCCUUGACGGUAGCUAACCAGAAAGCCACGGCUAACUACGUG